rnacentral:misc_RNA from 1 species
GAUGAAGAACGUAGCGAAAUGCGAUAAGUAAUGUGAAUUGCAGAAUUCAGUGAAUCAUCGAAUCUUUGAACGCACAUUGCGCCCAUUGGUAUUCCAUUGGGCAUGUCUGUUUGAGCGUCAUUACAACCCUCAGCCAACCGCUGGUUUUGAACCUGAACGGGUAACACCGUGCUGGUUUUAAAGUUGUAAGCUCUGCUGGCCGCUCUGCCCAACCAGAACAUAGUAAGCACUACUUGUCCGGGUGAAGCUGAACGGUACGGCCUGAACAAAACCUACCCAUUCUCAAGGUUUGACCUCAGAUCAGACAAGGAUACCCGCUGAACUUAAGCAUAUCAAUAAGCGGAGGA